rnacentral:rRNA from 1 species
GCGAACCCGUGAGGGUAAGCGAAUCCCUUAAAGCGAGUCUCAGUUCGGAUCGUAGUCUGCAAUUCGACUACGUGAAGUCGGAGUCGCUAGUAAUCGCAGAUCAGCAACGCUGCGGUGAAUACGUUCCCGGGCCUUGUACACACCGCCCGUCAAGUCACGAAAGUCGGUAACACCCGAAGCCGGUGUCCCAACCCACUUGUGGGAGGGGCCGUCUAAGGUGACUGAUCAGAGGUC